rnacentral:lncRNA from 1 species
AUGGUUUGCUAUUCACUCGACCCAGAAAACCCCUCAAAAUCAGGCAAAUCAAGAGUUUCAAAUAUUUGUGUUUCCUUUAAGAACACUUGUGAAACUGCCCAGGCCAUCAAGGGUGUGCAUAUAUGAAAAGCCACCAAGUAUCCGAAAGAUGUCACUUCACAAAAACAGCGUGCACCAUUCUGACAUUACAAUGGGGGAAUUGGUAGUGCCCAGGUCAAGUGGUGGGGCUGGACACAGGAGGCAAAUAGGAAAUGUAGUCUGAAGCACAAGGAAGAGGUCAGGGCUAAUGAUAAAAUGUGGCAGUCAUUAUUAUCCAGGUGA